GACGAACGCUGGCGGCGUGCUUAACACAUGCAAGUCGAACGGAAAGGCCCUGCUUUUGUGGGGUGCUCGAGUGGCGAACGGGUGAUUAACACGUGAGUAACCUGCCCUUGACUUUGGGAUAACUUCAGGAAACUGGGGCUAAUACCGGAUAGGAGCUCCUGCUGCAGGGGGGGGGUGGGAAAGUUUCGGCGGUUGGGGAUGGACUCGCGGCUUAUCAGCUUGUUGGUGGGGUAGUGGCUUACCAAGGCUUUGACGGGUAGCCGGCCUGAGAGGGUGACCGGCCACAUUGGGACUGAGAUACGGCCCAGACUCCUACGGGAGGCAGCAGUGGGGAAUAUUGCACAAUGGGCGGAAGCCUGAUGCAGCAACGCCGCGUGCGGGAUGACGGCCUUCGGGUUGUAAACCGCUUUCGCCUGUGACGAAGCGUGAGUGACGGUAAUGGGUAAAGAAGCACCGGCUAACUACGUG
rnacentral:rRNA from 1 species